rnacentral:rRNA from 1 species
AAUCAUGGCUCAGGAUGAACGCUAGCUACAGGCUUAACACAUGCAAGUCGAGGGGCAGCACGAACUUAGCUUGCUAAGUUUGAUGGCGACCGGCGCACGGGUGAGUAACACGUAUCCAACCUUCCGUUUACUCAGGGAUAGCCUUUCGAAAGAAAGAUUAAUACCUGAUAGUAUGGUGAGAUUGCAUGAUAGCACCAUUAAAGAUUUAUUGAUAAACGAUGGGGAUGCGUUCCAUUAGG